AAAAAAAAUAACAAAACCUAUUCCCUUUCGACAGUAUUUGGCCUGCAAAAUCGCUCCGGUUAAUAGUCUCUAGUUAACAAAAUCAAUGUGGCCUGCGACAGCUCCGGCCUGCCACAGCCCCCGGCGAUCUUCUUCCCAAAUCCCAGGUUUCAAGAUUGCCGCAGAAAUCAUUAUUCUCUUUCACUUUCUUGUCUUUAUCGGCAAAACAUUCUGCUUACCAGGAAAAAUCAGAAUAAAUUUGAAGGAACAAUCUCAGUUGAAAGCUUUGAAUUUGAAAGAUUCGAGGCAUUCAGAGGUCGAUUUGAGAGACAAAGGCAUCGCGAGCUAGAGGAUUAGCCGAUUCGAGUUAAAGAAAGUCUAAUGCUUACUCACACUUCACUCAAGCACCCAAGCUGAAAGAGUCUGCAGAGCUGCCAUUAGAUGUACACUUUGUACAGGUGAUUGGAGAAAUUUUAGAAAGGAGGAAAAGAAGAAUAGAUCCCUAACGGCAACAGCGGAUAUGAACGAGUACCACAAACAUAAAGGAUACCUAGUGUUGCUGAAAAUGCUCUACCUUCUUACGGUUAUACAGUUCGAUGUUCGAUAAUUUAGCAGGUGGAAGAUUUCAAAAUGAUAAAAAAUUGUGGAAAUCAUUUGAAGACCAUCAUUCUUCUGGAUUAGUUAUAUAAUAACAUUAGCUAUUUAGUUCAAACAAUAUAAGUUUAGUUACAAUGACAUUAAUAUUUUUGAUUAGUACUUCCUUUUGUUUGUUAAAAUUUGAUGAGAUAUAUAUAUUUUUUUGAAUUAAUAUUAAUAUAUUUUCUUAUUUGAGUCAUAUUAUGGAUGAAUGUAGUAACUAUUAUUAA